CCUACGGGUGGCAGCAGUGAGGAAUAUUGCUCAAUGGGCGGAACCCUGAACCAGCAACGCCGCGUGCAGGAUGAAGGUUUUCCGGGUGUAAACUCCUUUUGUUAGAGGAGAUAAUGACGUUAUCUAACGAAUAAGCACCGGCUAACUCCGUUCAGGACGCCGCGGUAAUACGGAGGGUGCAAGCGUUACGCGGAAUCACUGGGCGUAAAGCGCGCGUAGGCGGGAUAACAAGUCAGAUGUGAAAUCCUAUGGCUUAACCAUAGAACUGCAUUUGAAACUGGUAUUCUAGAGUAUGGGAGAGGCAGGCGGAAUUCGUGGUGUAGGGGUAAAAUGCGUAGAGAUCAAGAGGAACACUGAUUGCGAAGGCGACUUGCUAGAACAUAACUGACGCUGAUGCGCGAAAGCGUGGGGAGCAAACAGGAUUAGAUACCCUUGUAGUC
rnacentral:rRNA from 1 species